CAAACUUUUUUCUUUGCCAAAUUUUCCUUUCCCUCUUCUCAUUUUCAAUCUGCCUCACUCCAUAUCUCACUCCCCCUUGGCGACUGAGAAACAUAGUACCCAGUCUCUUCUCUCCAUGGCUUCUUCAUAUCCUUCGCUGCAGAGAAGCCACUCGUCCCAAGAUCUAUGGAUUUAUGCCGUGUACUAAGAGGGUGCUUGUAAACGUGUUUCUGAGUUUGAUUUAUGGAUUUAUCGUGUACUAAGACAUCACUCGGACUCUCUGGGAAGACCUAUCAACUCAGAAAAGCCGUGUCUCCUUGCACAGUAAAUGAUUCAUUGUUAAAGGUAAACCAUAAAACUCAGUAUUAAAAUUCCAGAAACCAUCCAUGGAUCCAAAGGAGACAACUUGCUUUUGCCAAGCACAAGCAUGUUAUAUCAGGAAUCUUAAGUGAACUUGAAAGAAUAUGAUUUGGGAAGGCUUCUUGAUGAUGAAAGUCAGCCUGAUGAACAUGUCACUCCAAAUUUUCAGGUGCGUCUAAGAAUGUUUGUUCAAACCAAGAAGAAAGAUGAUGCAUUUUGAUAAACACCCAAGGCACGAUGUUGACAAGUCUUUAUUUCUCGCUAGAACUUUUGUUUGGAAAAAUGAAGAGAUAACAGAGAGAAGCUUUUGUUUUUCUGUUUGAACUAUUGUUUUGUCUUUUGCUUUCAAUUGUAAGUUGAACUAUUG